rnacentral:rRNA from 1 species
UACAGAGGUCCCAAGCGUUUGUUCGGAUUCACUGGGCGUAAAGGGUGCGCAGGUGGGUUGGCAAGUUUGAUGUGAAAGCCCCGGGCUUAACCCGGGAAUGGCAUUGAAUACUGCUGAUCUGGAGGAUCGGAGGGGGGACUGGAAUUCUUGGUGUAGCAGUGAAAUGCGUAGAUAUCAAGAGGAACACCAGUGGCGAAGGCGAGUCCCUGGACGAUACCUGACACUGAGGCACGAAAGCCAAGGGAGCAAACAGG